rnacentral:misc_RNA from 1 species
UCUCCGUUGGUGAACCAGCGGAGGGAUCAUUACCGAGUUUACAACUCCCAAACCCCUGUGAACAUACCUUACUGUUGCCUCGGCGGAUCAGCCCGCUCCCGGUAAAACGGGACGGCCCGCCGGAGGUCACCAAACUCUUGAUAAUUUAUGGCCUCUCUGAGUCUUCUGUACUGAAUAAGUCAAAACUUUCAACAACGGAUCUCUUGGUUCUG